CGAACGCUGGCGGCGUGCCUAAUACAUGCAAGUCGAGCGGACAGAUGGGAGCUUGCUCCCUGAUGUUAGCGGCGGACGGGUGAGUAACACGUGGGUAACCUGCCUGUAAGACUGGGAUAACUCCGGGAAACCGGGGCUAAUACCGGAUGGUUGUUUGAACCGCAUGGUUCAAACAUAAAAGGUGGCUUCGGCUACCACUUACAGAUGGACCCGCGGCGCAUUAGCUAGUUGGUGAGGUAACGGCUCACCAAGGCAACGAUGCGUAGCCGACCUGAGAGGGUGAUCGGCCACACUGGGACUGAGACACGGCCCAGACUCCUACGGGAGGCAGCAGUAGGGAAUCUUCCGCAAUGGACGAAAGUCUGACGGAGCAACGCCGCGUGAGUGAUGAAGGUUUUCGGAUCGUAAAGCUCUGUUGUUAGGGAAGAACAAGUACCGUUCGAAUAGGGCGGUACCUUGACGGUACCUAACCAGAAAGCCACGGCUAACUACGUGCCAGCAGCCGCGGUAAUACGUAGGUGGCAAGCGUUGUCCGGAAUUAUUGGGCGUAAAGGGCUCGCAGGCGGUUUCUUAAGUCUGAUGUGAAAGCCCCCGGCUCAACCGGGGAGGGUCAUUGGAAACUGGGGAACUUGAGUGCAGAAGAGGAGAGUGGAAUUCCACGUGUAGCGGUGAAAUGCGUAGAGAUGUGGAGGAACACCAGUGGCGAAGGCGACUCUCUGGUCUGUAACUGACGCUGAGGAGCCAAAGCGUGGGGAGCGAACAGGAUUAGAUACCCUGGUAGUCCACGCCGUAAACCAUGAGUGCUAAGUGUUAGGGGGUUUUCGCCCCUUAGUGCUGCAGCUAACGCAU
rnacentral:rRNA from 1 species